rfam:Dictyostelium fasciculatum unplaced genomic scaffold Scf_ETAJFTG02HR96I-5, whole genome shotgun sequence.
CAAAAGGCUUUUUUCAAAGCCACCCAAAUUCAAAUUAAUCAAAAG